AUACGUAGGGGGCGAGCGUUGUCCGGAAUGAUUGGGAGUAAAGGGCGCGUAGGCGGCCCGGUAAGUCUGGAGUGAAAGUCCUGCUUUUAAGGUGGGAAUUGCUUUGGAUACUGUCGGGCUUGAGUGCAGGAGAGGUAAGUGGAAUUCCCAGUGUAGCGGUGAAAUGCGUAGAGAUUGGGAGGAACACCAGUGGCGAAGGCGACUUACUGGACUGUAACUGACGCUGAGGCGCGAAAGUGUGGGGCUCAAACAGGCUUAGAUACCCUGGUAGUCCACGCCCUAAACGAUGAAUGCUAGGUGUAGGGGAGUCAUCUUCUGUGCCGCAGCUAACGCAAUAAGCAUUCCACCUGGGGAGUACGGCCGCAAGGUUGAAACUCAAAUGAAUUGACGUGG
rnacentral:rRNA from 1 species